AUAGGAUCUCAGGCAGGCGGAGCGGAGGGCAGCUUGUGCCGAAAGGGCUCGGGCUGGUUGGUCGGGACGCCUGACAAGUCCCGCAGAACAACUUCAGAGGAGCAAAGUCCAGCCGGAGUGUGAGGGAGGCAGAGUGGAAGUUAAUGUGUGUGUGUGUGUGAGAGAGUGAGAGAGAGAGAGAAAGAGAGAGAGAGUGAGUGAGAGAGAGAGAGACAGAGAGACAGAGCGUGCUGGACACAAAAAAGUCAUUUUAAAAGAAAUGCUCCAAAGAUGGCGGUGGUAAUAGCGACGGGAGUUUCAGGUGCGUCCGCAGUGCAAAAAAGUGGAUUUGUGGAGGUUUUGGUGCGGGAGCGGUGGCACAAAGUUUUGGUCAACUUAAACGAGGAAGCGCUCACGUUAAGCUGCGAGGAGAGCAGCUCUAACGACAACUUGAACGACAGUGUCAACUCUAACGGCGUUACCAACGGAUCUUACCUUGAUAACAAUAACACCAACUCCAACAACGCACCCCAAACUGUGCGCACCGCGUUCACGGACCUCCCGGAGCGAGUGCCCGAGGCGAUCGCCAACAGAAAGCGGUGCGUCAAGGUGACCAAGCAGGAGAUCGGAGGGCUCGGGAUCAGCAUCAAGGGAGGGAAGGAGAAUAAAAUGCCCAUCCUCAUCAGUAAGAUAUUCAAGGGACUCGCAGCGGACCAGACCCAGGCUCUGUACGUCGGGGACGCCAUCCUGUCUGUGAACGGCAUGAACCUGCGGGACGCGACCCACGACGAGGCUGUGCAGGCGCUGAAGCGGGCCGGCAAAGAGGUGACUCUGGAAGUGAAGUACAUGCGCGAGGCCACACCGUACGUCAAAAAAGGCUCUCCUGUGUCAGAGAUCAGCUGGGAAACCCCCCCUCCGGAGUCUCCCCGUCUCGGCAGCCCUCCCAUCACCUUCUCCUCCCAAUCUGACCCUUCGAGCCCUGCUGCCCAGCCCUCCCUGUCCCUGCAGGGUGACAGGAGGUGCAUACCACUAAAGAUGUGCUAUGUAACCCGAGCCAUGACCACACCAGACCCUGAGAACAGACAACUGGAGCUGCACUCCCCUGACACCCGGCACACCGUGGUGCUGCGGUGCCCAGACCAACCAUCUGCCCUGUCCUGGUUCUCUGCCAUGCACUCUGUUACAUCCACACUGGCACAGCAUGCGCUGGCAGAGGUCAUCCAGAACACAGCCAGGACGGGGGUUGCUGGCAGCAAAGAGAUACGACACCUGGGAUGGCUGGCAGGGAAGACAGAGAGCGAGAAGCAGUCCUGGAAGCCGGUGCUGGUGGUUGUGACGGAGAAAGACCUGCUGCUGUUUGACAGUUUACCACGAGGCAAGGAGGCAUGGCAGAGCCCUGCACACACUUAUCCACUUUUAGCAACACGUCUGGUCCACUCUGGCCCUGACCGGGGGUCACCUCACUCCGGCACAGAGCUGUUCUUUGCCACUCGGACUGGCACGAGACUCGGCAUCGAGACUCACCUGUUCCGGGCUGAGACCACCAAGGAUCUGUCCCUGUGGACCAGACAUAUAGUGAACGGAUGUCACGCCUCAGCUGAGAUGAUCAAAGAAGUCACUACGAGUUGUCUAUACCAAGGUCAGGAGUGUCGGCUGGUGAUCCACUAUGAACAGGGCUUCUCUGUGCUGGCUGACCCCAUACUGGGAGACCGGGAGAACAGGGAGGAGAGAGGAGCUCACACACCUACCAGGCCCCGGGUGCUCCUCUCCUACCCCUACGAAAAAUUAAAGAUGUCCUCAGAUGACGGAGUUCGCAUGCUCAUCCUUGACUUUGGAGGGAAGGAGGGGGAGAUUGCUUAUGGGACUCUCUGAAAACUGAGAUGUUUUAUAUCUGCACCUUGAACUGACUGUGUAACAGCCCACAAAGAGCUCCAUAUAAAACUUCUGUCAGCAACUGGACCUUCACUCGUGUCCAAAGCCAAUCGUCUUCAUCCUCCACUCCUUCCUCUCUGCUAAGAUCUCCCGCCUGGGUCUGGUGGCCUGACCUCUCUAAAGGGACGUUUCACCUCCUUUUAAAAACAGAAAUCCACUUUGUUUUGCCGCCUCUCUGCAGCGCGCAUGCAGUACACCACGUCACACCUUCAGUCGGGGACCCAAGCUGAGUGAAUGUAGCCUCUAUCUGGAAACUGACCUUUUUUGGGUCUCGAAUUCCAAGUUAAAGAAACACUGGAGAAACCAGAUUGGUUUUGCCUUGAGCAAAAUUGACAGAUUUCUUUGGGAUAAACCCUCCCUUUAAGGGCUGCAUGGACUGAAGUGUUGACUGAAGAGCCACAGAGGAAAACAUGGACUGGACUAGAAGCAGAGGGAUGAUAUUUACAGAGGGACACAUUUAAAGGAGCAGAUUGGGCAUUACUGUCACGUCCAGGAUUGGAAGGACUGGACAUGUGCAGCAAGGUUGAGAUGAAUUCACUUUUAAUUCAAUCAAAAUGUAAUGGCAAAACUGCCUUCCAUUUACCAAUUAUAUAAUUUAUUUACCAUUAGCUCUGAAAGGACAUUCUGAAUUUCACUUGGUCAUUUUUCUUCAACAAACACUUGACACACUGUGGAAAAACUUUAUGCAUUUGUCUUUGUUAGCGUUCCCUGAAAUGUCUUGUUAGCCGUGUCAGCAUUCAUCAUUGAAACUGGGAGGCACAAUUGCCCGCAGUGUCCCACAAUGUGACAGCUGACUCAAAUUCAAAAUGUCACAGUAUUUGUUUAACAGGUUGCAUACAGUGACCAUCUGGUGGUCAAAGUAUUUCAGUGUUUGACUGAUUUGACAGUUCUAAUGACUUCAAAUAUAAUUUUUCAAUCAACUAACAUGAAUUAUAAAACACUCAAGCAUUCAGAUUUAUUGCAAUCACAAUCGUAGGCUCCUGUUUAUCACUCAAAAGCAGGGGAAAAAAUCAUAUCCAACAUAUCAAAAAGUACAAUAGCUUGUUACUGCAAUUUUGUCCAUGACACUGGGGAUCCAAAUGGCAUUUACUGUUGUGUUUCUGACAAAUGCAACUUCAGUUUCCACAGAAAUACCAGUAAUCCAUAUCAUGGACGUUCAUAAUGAGGAUACGGAUGCUAAUGAUUUUAUAUGAUUUGAAUUUAUCACUACAUGUACCAUAACCAAACAAUAAGGUAAUAUUUAUAACACACUUUGACAAUAAAGUUUAAAGCAAUAGUUCUUUUAGAGAAAUAAGCUUUUAGCCAAGAGUUAGGUGACUGUCUGAAGCUACAGCCAGUAGCUGGUUAUAGCUUAGCAUUGUUUAAUGACUGGCAACAGAGGGAAACUAUAGUCCAAAGGCAACAAAUCACUUUAUAUGUCUUUAUAUCUGAAUUGUGCUAUAGGCCGAUUUAGUUUAAAUCUGGAGCUGAACAUACAAUAAUGUUUUGAAUUUCUCUUAAAGAAAAUAAUCUCACCACAAGGUGCAUUUAGUAGCUGUUCCGGAGAUUUCAAGCAGCUCGUUUUACUAUUUUAGCAUAAAAACUGUCACUGACACGGUCCAAGAAAUAGUCUGGCACACAACCUUCCGUAAAACCACAUCUUUAUCUUUUUACAGUUUUACACACAUUUUUUGUACAGAUGAGAUGUAAGGUGUUAAAUAGUGAGCUUCAGAAGUGAUGUUAGAAGGAAUUUUGUUUUUUCCAUCUUUGGACAAAGGUUAGCUGUUUCCCCAUUUCUAAUAUUUAGCCAGCUACUAGCUAUGGCCUUACAUUUAAUGGACAAAUAUGAGAGUGGUAUUGGUCUUUUUAUCUAACUCUCGGUAAGUCAGCAAAUAAGUGUAUUUCCAAAAACGUGGACAGUGAGCUGUUUUUUGCCUGAUUUACCAACUGAAAUCCUCUCUGAACAACUGAGCAUGUUUGCCUGCUUAAAUGACAAACUACAAUCAUAUUCUACCCCAUCAAGCAAAUCUGCCAUGAGUAUUUCUAAUUUUCAUAUUAAAAACUGAAAAUCAACCUGACAGUACCACAAUCACCCCAUGAAGCAUUACUUGUAUUUUUCUUUCAUUAUAGCAAUGUAGCCAUCAUAGGAGUCUUCAACUCUGCUUUAGUCUUGCAGUUAUCAGUGCAGGUCAUUAUCUGUUUGGUCAUACAGCAGAUCAAAUCUGUGUACUGUCUCUGACUGACGUGGCUGGCUGCCAGGUCCUUUCCUCGUGCCUUCAGAUGACUAAAACAUCAGAAUUUUUGAAAGAUAUUAAUCAUAGAGAUCACAGGGAUGAUUGUGGAGCAACAAUGUGACUUCUACGAUGGCUACUUUACUUUUGGUAAUCAAACAUGUUUUCAAUGACCAUUUACACACAAACUGUGAACAAUGAUUUACACAUUGUAAUCCUACCACUCUCUAGAAGAAAUAUCUGUUUUGUUGAUGCUAAAAGAUAGUUGGAAGUAUUGUAACACUUUUGUUCAGACAAGAAUCCAGCACUUACUGAUAACCUCAAGUGGAGAGAAGCUUUUUGAGUAAAGGCUGCUUUGAUAUGUAGAAUACUCUGAUGCCUUCGGCAGCUACUGUACUGUCACUCAGAAUGAUAAAGCUUAGUUUUUAACUCAAACGGUGCACAUAAAUCAUGUAUUUAACAAAA